rnacentral:rRNA from 1 species
AGCAGCCGCGGUAAUUCCAGCUCCAAUAGCGUAUAUUAAAGUUGUUGCAGUUAAAAAGCUCGUAGUUGAAUUUCGGGAUCAAGUCGUUGGUCGUGCCUCGGUACGCACUGGUGACAUUGGUUUCUCCCUUCUGAAGAACCUUGAUGUCAUUAAUUUGGUGUCUUGGGGAAUCAGGACUGUUACUUUGAAAAAAUUAGAGUGUUUAAAGCAGGCUCACGCUUGAAUACAUUAGCAUGGAAUAAUGAAAUAGGACGUUUGAUUCUAUUUUGUUGGUUUCUAGGAUCGACGUAAUGAUUAAUAGGGAUAGUUGGGGGCAUUAGUAUUCAAUUGUCAGAGGUGAAAUUCUUGGAUUUAUUGAAGACUAACUACUGCGAAAGCAUUUGCCAAGGAUGUUUUCAUUAAUCAAGAACGAAAGUUAGGGACCGAAGACGAUCAGAUACCGUCGUAGUCUUAACCAUAAACUAUAGCCGACUAGGGAUCGGAUGAUGUUAAUUUUUAAUGUACUUCAUUCGGCGUCCUU